rnacentral:misc_RNA from 1 species
UUCUUGAUUUUGAUUCCCUCAGUGAUUUGAUGUCGGAUAGUCCUAUGGCUGAUAAAAAACAACAACCCCUUGAGCUUGGUUCUGUUAAUGAUGGAGUUUCUGAGAAAUGUCAAACUCAAACUGAGGACCCUUUGUCUUGUUUGAAUCAAGAAGAGAGUCAAAUUGGGGUUUCUGAGAAAUGUGAUAUUCAAAUGGAGGACCCUUUGAGUUGUUUGAAUCAUGAACAGAGUUCUGAGAAUGGGAUGAAAGUUGAGGAAUUUGAUUCAAUAGUUGAGGAGAAG